CGGAAAUGAAAUUCCAGAAAAAAAAAAGUCUAAUUUCCUCAAUCUUAAUCAAGUGAUAUUAAUUUUACGUCCUCAUCCUCAUUUAUUCCCUCUUCGCGUUUCCUCGACGUUCCUGACAUUUUGGAAUGGCAUGCAGAGUACAAGAGGAAUCCGGGAAUUUGUCAAAUUUCACGAGGCAAGUCUAAGGAGUCGAAAGUUGGGGAGGAAAUUCGACUCGGAUAUUUAGCCCCGCGUCCUAUCAACAAUGGCGCUCGUUUGGUAGACUUAACGAGGUCGUUUCCGGGAAUAUUGGUCGAUUGUUAUUAGUGCUAAAUAUUAAUGAGAGGAGACGUUAUAAUCCCGUUAAAAGGAGCCAAGCGUCGGCGUUGGAGAAUCGCUUCUCGAAAUCACGCAUGCGAGAUGAGAGAGUUUACGAUUCCGCCGCAGUUCGCCUCGGGCGGCGCUGCGAUCGCAAAGUGGAAAUCCCGUCUCCCAGGGAGGGAAGAUUUCUUCUUCAGAUCUCCCGGGUAUCCUAGGACGAACUGUAAGAGGUUCAUUGGUCUCUCUCCCGAUCGGACUGAUGGUGGUUUCCAUUCUGGCGGUUUCCAAGAGAUCCGUGAGAGUUGAGACGUCGAAUUGCUGGGUCCUACACAAAAUGGCGGUGCAAGUUCUUCGGGGUGUGGGUGAGGACGGAUUUCGAAUCUCGAAGUUUCGGGCAAGAGGUCCAUCGCUGAGAAGGGUCAUGGGCUUUGGUCGAACUUGGACCAACAACUGUUGUCAUCUCCAGAUGUGCACUUACGACGAGGGGAGAAUAUGUACACCUAGUUCAGAAAUGUGGGGAUCCAAACGCGUCGAAGGGUCAGGAUGAAACUUGACGUCUCCUUCAUAUUGCCUCCACGUGCUGCUGAUAUUUUCGAUAUAACCCUGUCA